rnacentral:rRNA from 1 species
UGAGGAAUAUUGGUCAAUGGGCGAGAGCCUGAACCAGCCAAGUCGCGUGAAGGAAGACAGUCCUAAGGAUUGUAAACUUCUUUUAUACGGGAAUAACGUGCGAUACGAGUAUUGCAUUGAAUGUACCGUAAGAAUAAGCAUCGGCUAACUCCGUGCCAGCAGCCGCGGUAAUACGGAGGAUGCGAGCGUUAUCCGGAUUUAUUGGGUUUAAAGGGUGCGUAGGUUGUUCGGUAAGUCAGCGGUGAAACCUGAGCGCUCAACGUUCAGCCUGCCGUUGAAACUGCCGGGCUUGAGUUCAGUGGCGGCAGGCGGAAUUCGUGGUGUAGCGGUGAAAUGCAUAGAUAUCACGAGAAACUCCGAUUGCGAAGGCAGCUUGCCAUACUGCGACUGACACUGAAGCACGAAGGCGUGGGUAUCAAACAGG